ACCACUUUCCUUAUUCCUUUCAAAGUUUCUUUUAUUGUUGAUUCCCAUAUACCAAUUAUCAUAGAUAAACAUAUCCAAUGAUACUCUGUGUUACCCAAUCACUACAUACAAACUAAUAAAUUUACCAUUAACCACAACUAUGAACCAAUUUUGACAAAAUCUUGCAUUCCGUAAUAAAAAUAUAAUCAAGAUAAGCUAUAAUACCUUUCACUUGCUUGUUUAUGUGAUCUUUCUAUCCUUAAAUUCAAAGUCUAGCUUCACCACACAAAUCAUGAAGAUUCACCUCUUCCUUGCUCUAACCGAAAUGAAACAUCGAAAUUUAUUUGAGAGAGGGGAUGGCGGGUGUAAACAAAAAAUAAAAGGAAGCUCUAGAAUGUGCUUUGGGUUCUAUAGAACCUAUGUUCCUGCUUAUCCUUGAAUGGACUGGACUGGGUUAGUAAGGGAGAUCAGUUGGCCUUGGGAUGGGGGUGCUCGGCAGUGUGGGAGAGGGAAGCAGAGGUGUGGCCAGAGAAGGGUCAUGGCUUUAUAGCUUUGACUUCCUUACUCUCUUCUUCUAUUCUUUGCCUGACCCUUUCUAAUACUCCUACGAAUUGUUAUGUUUCAGCAUGUAAUACAUGUGUAAUAAUAUAAGUAUGUACAUAUAAUACUUUACUUUUAUUGCCUAUAUACACAAUAUUUACAUUAUACAUAUAUUAUAUUACAUAAUAUUUCCCAUUUAUAUUAUCUUACUUGCAACUAAAAUAAGAUAAUAUAUAAAACACCAUCAUUUUCUUUUAUUUAAAUAAUUUAGCUUUAUAAAAAUUACUUUCAAUUUCUUAUAAGUUGGUCACCCAACUUAAGUCUUCUCUAGUCUUCCCCCUCGUCUUUAAAAGCUUGCAAAUCACCCCCUGACAUAUUCUUAGCAUAUUCUUAUAAUAUUCUUUAUUCCUUAACAUAUUACUUAAGAUAUUUUCUUAAGUUUUAAAUAUUAGGUUUUUAACCCUAAGGUUUUCUUAACUCGCACAAUUCCCCCUUAACUUUCAUAAUUCACUUCCAUACUUUAUUAAGUUAUUUAAUUACUCAAUCUUAGUAACUUAAUUUAAUUAAAUAAGUUACUACAUAAAUUUCCUUAAUUUAUUUUACCCUCUUGGAAUCAUAUAAUUUACAUAACUCAUCUUCGUUAUAUAUAACUUAUAUAAAAUAUAACAUAACAUGUUCAAAUUACAUAUUUAUUUUAUAAUUGUAAAAUAAAUAUGCUACACAUAAUUUCUUAUGUAAAUAUAAUUAUUUACAUACUCGAGAUAUUAUAAUAUAAUAUCCUUACCUCAUUGUCAUAAAUUCAAUUAAGAAUUUAUUUACUUUCUUAAGAUAUUACGAUAAUUAUAAUAUCUUUUCUUUAUUAAAUUAAUUUUAUAUAAAAAUUUAUUCUAAUACUCUUGGGUAAAGUAUAUAUAAAUAUUAUAUGCUUAACCCGCCUCUCUUUUUUUUUUGCCUCAUUACACAAAUUGUUCCCAACAAAAUUUAUUUCCUUGCGUAAUACAUAUAUAUUUAUAUUUAUCACCUUGCAUAUUCUUUAUAAUGCACAUGUACUCACAUCACAUAUAGAAAAUAAAUAAUAAAUUUAUUCUCUCACCUUAUAAAUUGUUUAUAUCAAUUUAUUAAUAUAUAGCAAGUAUAACUUAAUAUAUUUACCUUAUAAAUGGAAAUUUAUUCAGUAAAUAAGAUAUUAUAAUUAAAAUAAUAUCUUUUCUUUAUUAAAAUAAUUCAACUCUAGAAUUUAUUUUAAUAUCAUUUAUUUAAAGUAUACAAUAAUUCUUGUAUACUAAUUACUUUAUUCUCCCUUCUAUAAAUUAUUUUCAACAAUUUAACUGUAAUAAAUAUAAUACUAUACUUACAACAUUAAAAACAUACAUACAUUACAUCCAAUAAUGUAAUACAUGGUUUCUUCAAUAGACAAUUUAUUUACAUAUAAUAAAUAUAUAAUACCAAUAUAUUUAUUAAGCAUAAGCAUCACAUAUUGCAUAGCUCAUACCCACUUAUGCAAUAUAAUAUCAUACAACAUAUUAUCUAAUAAAAAUUUUAUUUAUUAAACUCUUAUUUUAAUAUUACCCAAAAUUUUAGGUUAUUACAUUCUUUCCCCCUUAUAAGGAUUCUGUCCCCGGAAUCACAAUACUGAAUCAUUCUUAAUCGGUUUAGAUCCUAUUCUUUCUCGUAACCUUAUCGUUGAAUCAUUUCAACGUACCAUUUCCUUAGAUUUUUCUUAAAAAUAAAUCAUCUAUUUUCAUUCUAGGUGUUAAACUUUAACCUUUAAUUUAAUCAUUCAAGAUCUUCUAAAUUUUCAGGUUAUCACAUUCACCCCUUCUUCUAAGAAUUUCGACCCCGAAAUUACAGUAUACUAAUCUUUGCAUUUUCUAUUCACCGAAAGUAGGUUUUAAUUUAACCUUUACAUUUUCUUCCUCUGAGGAUUUAUCUUCUAUCAUCUCAUUCAACCAUUUCUACCCCUUUUUAAGAAGUGAAAAACUUUUCAUAUUAUGCUGAGGGGUCAUAUAGACCAUGAACACAUAAUUUUAACUGUAUUCACACCGUAAAACAAUAAAAUACUAGGUAUGUUUACAAUCACGAAGAAGGUAAAUUACCGCUGCUAGUACUUUAGGUGAUCAGCCUAUCGUACGCUUACGUCGUAUACGACGCAUCAAUCAUGUCUAGCGAAUAUUUACGCUACUAGAUUGGAUUAUUUUAUUCAAUCAACAUAUCCCUUUUUUCAGGGUUGUUCACCUCAGACUUAUCAUAAGAUUCCGCACCAAAACAAUUUGGUUCGGCAUAAGCUCGCAAAGAAUACUUUGGAUUUCAUAAACAUUUGUCUAGCUGAAUCAAAUAGCUUAGACUCAUACCAAUAAUUCGAAUAUCAAUUGAAACAUGUCUAGCCAAAUUCAAUUGGCAAUAAUUUAUCUUUAAAAUUAUGAAAAUCAUUUUAUGACGCCAUGAUACCGCACUAUAUUUACAAUCCGUUUGAGGAUUCCGUCAUUUGGUGAUUUUAUCAUACUACAUCAUACCAUAAUGGGCUGACGAUCCUUAGAUCACAUCCAACACUAGGUAAUACUGGAUUGAUGACUCCAUCAUUUUUAUCAUCUCUACACCAGGUUCCAUGAUGCAUUGAUGAUAUAUAAAAUACAUUUUGAUAUUUUUCAAAUCAUUUUUGUCUAGCCGAAGCAAUUAGCAUAGACUCUCCUUUAAAUAGUUCAAAACCAUUGAAAAUCAAUUUUAGUGUUAUCAUGUCGUAACAGAUAACGAGAUGUUAGUGGUUCACAGUCCACAUACACACCUUUGUCACCGUAUGUUACUGAUAACAAAAUUCGUUUUUAAAGGCACCAUAGUGCGAAUUUAGCUUAUGUCAAAAAUUUUGAAGUCUAGCAUAGCUAGAAGAUUUGGAAUACCUAUGCUUCCACCAUCAACUUCAAUUUCUCUAAUGAUCAAUUGCUUAAUAAGUCUAUCUAUUUUUAUCAUCCUCAAUACUCUAUUCACACUUAGUUAUACCCCAGUUCAUCAAACUUACUACACUUUGGAAAUCCAGGAACUUGCCAUAAUCAUAUGAGUUUAGAAACUUAUCCUAGUCAGACCAUAGGCGUCCAUUCGCUGAGGGGUUCAAAACAUACCAUAUGAUUAUGAGUCACGAACUUACCAUAUGCAUUAGUUUUAAGAACCGUACAUAAUCUUAAUAUCAUCUAACCUAAUCUUAUAUUCUCUACCUAUCCAUUAUACACAUGAGAAAAGAAUCACAUUCUCAACAGGUAUAUAGCAAAUAGUGCGACACAAACAUUUCAAUGAUUAUCACUACCAGAAGCUAAGUGGUUGUUACACCAAGUACAAUUCCCCGCCCAUACAAAGAAUCAUACAACUUAGCUGCUGACAUGAGUUCUUAAUUGAAAUCCCACCCAAUUCUAGCUUCCCCUUACUCGAUACGAAUUUUAUUUAAUCCGUAUCUCAUCAUCUACAACUCUUUUCUGAGUUUGCAUAGUACCAUUUCAUAGUACAUUCUCUUUAUAGCGUCAGGCUAUAUCAUUCCAAUCAUUUCAUAGAUUAUCUGCUAUUUAAUCUGAUCACGUCAUGAUCUUAUCUUAUAAUCGUGUUAUAUUACGAUUCUCUUCUAUCUUAUGAUCGUUUUGUUUUACGAUCUCCUUUCCCUUUAUACUUUGUCUCAUAGACUCUAUCAAUCCAUUAUUGUUUUUUGUCUUUAACAUCAGAGUUAGGUAACUCUGGAUCUUUAUAACUUUUCAAGAUUCUUCUUUAAAUCUUAUUUACUAAAUAAUGAAUUUCCCAAAUUCAUCUCUUAACAAAUUAAACUCUAUUUAAGUAACAAAUGAAACCCUAUUUGAGUUUAUUCCUUAUCCUCAUCUCUGCGGUUAUAGCCUAAGGUACACCUACCUAAGGUUUAUAACCUACAGCUUUGAUACCAAUUGUAACGCCCCCAAAAUCGGAACUAUUUUACUUCUCGAUCUUGUGCGUUAAUAUUAUCAUGUUCUAGAUUUAAAACAUUAUUUAAUAUUAAAAUAGCUAAAAUGCAGAAUAAAUUUUUUUUUCUUUUCUUUCCAUUCAUUCCCUGAAUCGCAACCUUUACAAUUCUUCUUCAUACUAGAAUCAUAUUUAUUAUAUAACUUAUUUAGCCUGAGUAGAUAGGAAUAUAUAUUUAUACAAUUCAUUCUUUCAAGCAUAUCCCCUCUUUAGAACAAACAAUCUUCAUCUAUUGAAUAAUUUAAAAUUUUACACAUCUGUGAUUUACAACCAUCAAAUGAUUCAACACAAUCUCAAUUAAAUCACUAGUCUUCUUUUCAUGCGCUCCUAAUCACGAUAGAUCGCAUCAUAGCUUUAACCUGCAAAUUAAGCAAGAUUGAGCACGACGGCCCAACAAGUCUAACAGUCUAUCAUGCAUCACAUAACACAUAGGUUUCACAUUCAGUUCAUGCAUUUAUAUUCUUGGUGUUCAAGCAUAUUACAAAUGCAUUAUCACAUUUAUGUCAUGCUGGUAGCAACAUACAUAUCAUAUCAUACUACACAUGUCAUGUACAUGUCAUUCAUUGCACAUAUAUAUUGAGUUCCCCGACUCAAUUCAAUAAUUAGUCAUAAUUUGACAUUCAUCAUUCACAAAGCAAAUAAUGCAGUUCAUAGGUAUUACAUACUUAUAAACAUAAAUCAUGCUAACAGUUAUCUAUAGCAAUUAUAAGUCCACAUAAAUAAACUGAGAAACUUGCCUUGUUCGUAGACUAUUGGCACAAUUUCAGCUUAACUUGUGUAUUCUCACAGAUCCUAUACAAUUAUGUGCAUUUACAAGCAUAUUAGCCAAAUAACCAAGUCAUAUAGCUUGUAUGUUCACAUAUCACAUAAUCAUGAUGUUUUUAGUUCAUGUUCUAUAUUUAAGAUAUACUUUUCAAAUAUAUCAUCCAUGUUCUUACAAUAACCUUUUCUUUCCCUCAUAGGGUUUGACAUAAUUUUUGUUCAGGAACUUUUCAUGAUAUUAGUUCACACUCCUUUUACUUCUUUUGUUUGCCAUAAGUAUACAUUGCAAUCUGCUUUAUAUCUUAGGUAUUCAAGGUGAAUACGUAAGUUAUUUCAUGUAUUAAAUAUGAUUGUAUAUCAUAAGGGUAGAACUUUUAGUUUCCAAUCUGCUUUGCAAAUUAUAUUGUCAAACUAUUCGUUUUAUUGCGUUUGUUAGUUAUGUCAAAACAGCCCUCUUCGGCCAAAUAUAUCUUGCAGCCUUUAUUGUUGCUUCAACAAUUCUUUCGCAUAAUUUAAUUGGGCUUAUUAUCAUUUCACUAUGCUUGGCUUAUUAUCAUUUCACUAUGCUGAGGCUAAAUUUUUCUUGUUAUCCUUUUGUUUCCUCUAUUUAACUAAGUGAGUCUAGUAGCUCACUUAAAUGCACUAACGGUUUCUUAGCAUUUCUUUAUGCUAUUAGUCACUUAUAUUUGAUUAUGGGAUUAUAUUAAUUUUAGUGUGGCUUUACACUGCAUUAGCAGUUAACUAACCACUGCUGCUGCAAAUGUGCAGCAGCGUUGCCUCUCCUUUGCUCACUAAUUAGCUCCAAUUGCAUUUUUAAUUUAAAUUAAGCUGCCCCAAAACUGCCAUAGCUUUUAGCAUGUUAUAUUCACUUUAUAUCCUUACUUGUAUCCUUACCAAAUCCCAGUAACUUCAAUUCAAUUUAUUGCAUUCGUGUUCAAAACACCCCCAAAGGACUAAAACAAAAUAGGCCAGCCGCAGCAGCCAAACCAUAUUGCUCUCUGGCCUCCUUUUCCAUUUUCAAGUUUGCAAAUCACAAGUCAAAUGGAAACCAAAAUUUAGCAUGUUAUAAAGGGUAUAUCAUAGUAUUUUUAAAAAUAUAACUAUUUUAAUUUGGGCAUCCUAGACAGGUUUAACAGAGGGCUAAAACUGCCAUAUCGAAACAGUUUUCAAUUUGUUUUCCAACUGUACCCUCUCUUGCUCAAACAGUCCUAACUUUCUCGUUUCAAAACAUUUUUGAGCGAUUCUCGAGCCCACGCGAAGCUAACUUCCGAGGCUACAACUUUCAUUCUUUGACCAUUUCCAAUUUCAAACCACAGAAUUCCAGAAAAUUCGUGCAAGAGGCUGCUCCGAAUUUGUUAGACAGAUUUAACACAACUGCUUUGAACGGGAGAAACUCGUUGCUCCGAAGUCGGAAUUAGUCCGUUCCGGAGUCUAUGGAAAGCUUAUUCAGUGUACUAUAACAUACCAAAAGCCCAGAAUUUUCUGAACAUCCUAGCUAACCCCGAAUUUUAAUUUUAGGGUCAGCAGUUCACAAUUUUUCGGUUUCUAACAUGUUUAUUUCACGACCUUAUUACUUCUAGCUCAUAUACCAAAUUAGAACAAAAUUUAAAUAUGUUUUACAUAGUAUAUGAGUCUGCAUUUAAAAGUUAUAUCCUUUCCAUUUCAGCUUCAAUAGGCUGCUCAAAACAACACUUAAAAGUAGCCUUGACAUACUACUUUUUAAUUUUUCACUUUGCCUUGUAGUUGAGUUUCGUUCCAAUCUUAUAUGCUUAGUCACUCUAAUUAUCAAUUUAUCAUCUCAUAUAACAUACUAAUCUGUCCCAAGCCUUGAUUCCAUCUACUAUUCAAUUUUUAGCCAAAACAGUCCACCUAAGACUUUUAUCGAGCAAGUUGUGUGCACAUUUUUCCGACACCCUUUUCAUAGCUAUUAGUUUGUAUUAUAAACCUAUUUUAUCCUCCUUAUGAGUCCACACAACCAUCCUAUCUCCUUUACUCUACUUCAGCCCCAUAAUAAUAGAAUACACAGCUAAAUCAGUUAUACACUUGGUUUAUAAAUUAACAAAUUCACCACUUUCCUUAUUCCUUUCAAAGUUUCUUUUAUUGUUGAUUCCCAUAUACCAAUUAUCAUAGAUAAACAUAUCCAAUGAUACUCUGUGUUACCCAAUCACUACAUACAAACUAAUAAAUUUACCAUUAACCACAACUAUGAACCAAUUUUGACAAAAUCUUGCAUUCCGUAAUAAAAAUAUAAUCAAGAUAAGCUAUAAUACCUUUCACUUGCUAGUUGCUUGUUUAUGAGAUCUUUCUAUCCUUAAAUUCAAAGUCUAGCUUCACCACACAAAUCAUGAAGCUUCACCUCUUCCUUGCUCUAACCGAAAUGAAACAUUGAAAUUUAUUUGAGAGAGGGGAUGGCGGGUGUAAACAGAAAAUAAAAGGAAGCUCUAGAAUGUGCUUUGGGUUCUAUAGAACCUCUGUUCCUGCUUAUCCUUGAAUGGACUGGACUGGACUGGACUGGACUGGGUUAGCAAGGGAGAUCAGUUGGCCUUGGGAUGGGGGUGCUCGGCAGUGUGGGAGAGGGAAGCAGAGGUGUGGCCAGAGAAGGGUCAUGGCUUUAUAGCUUUGACUUCCUUACUCUCUCCUUCUAUUCUUUGCCUGACCCUUACUUUCUAUUACUCCUACGAAUUG
rnacentral:lncRNA from 1 species